rnacentral:lncRNA from 1 species
CGUGGGAAGCCUGGCAGCGCAUGGGACAGAACUCCUCUCAACACUGUCAGGCCACUUGCUCCUCAAAUUCCCCUUCAGGAAGUGGGAUGGUGAGAGGAGAAGAGACUUGGUGCUUCCCAUCCCUGCUGUUGAAUGGAGCCAGGCUUUCUUUGGACUGCAAGUAAAUUCACUGGGCCAGAUGCUCAGGCCAAGCCCCAGGGCUGCUUGUUCCUAGGAGGGAAAGGUAGAAGAUUCCUGAGUCUCCUUUUUCAGUGCAGAAAGGCAGAGGAUACAAGAGGAGAGCAUCAUUUUUAUGACAACAAGGAUGCAUCCUUUGCAAUUGUGACUUCCUUUGGCUGGGAUGUGGGAUGCUGUGGCCGUCCUGCUGUGUUUUCUGUCUUUCUCUGGGACAGCUGAAUAAUGUCCGUAGCCAGACAUAUGCUCAUGGCCUGGAAUGAAGUCGACUGCAAUUACAUCCUAAGGGAGUCACUCAACGGGGGUUUUGUGGAGGCAGGACGCAGGCUCUGGUGGAGCUGCACAUGUGCUGUUAGACCUCCAACUGCACUCACUCUGCCUGCAGCUUUGUGGGAGCGAGGAGCAGCAGGCUCAGAAAUACAGCAGUCUGGUGCACAUCUGGAGACAGUAAUUGGAGCUCUGCAUAUGAAUGCAAUGUUUGUUGGGGUGGAUGGAUGCCGGUGCCAGUUUUCCACUCCAGUUUCCAGCAAAACCAAGCAGCAGCCUGACCAUGAAUCUGCUUCCAGCUCCUUUCUCUGCUCCCUGCAACAUCCUUGCUGCAGCCAUAUUAGUGCUGGGGCUCUCCUUCCCUGGCUGCUGGCUGCUGAUGUGGAUGCAGUAGGUGCACAGAUUCCUGGCAGGUGGAUGCAGCCGUCGGACAAGAGCAGCAGGCCUGUGGCGCCCAGGAUAGGAACGUGUUUGCCUGGGGAGGCAGGUGAUACCUGA